UACGUAGGCAGCAAGCGUUGUUCGGAAUUACUGGGCGUAAAGAGUGUGUAGGUGGUGCUCCAAGUCUGUUGUGAAAUCUCCCGGCUUAACUGGGAGGGUGCGGCGGAAACUGGAAUGCUUGAGGAUGGGAGAGGAAAGCGGAAUUCCUGGUGUAGCGGUGAAAUGCGUAGAUAUCAGGAGGAACACCCGUGGUGUAGACAGCUUUCUGGACCAUUUCUGACACUUGAGACACGAAAGCGUGGGUAGCAAACAGG
rnacentral:rRNA from 1 species